GCUGGGGGUGAUGGUGCAUACCUGUAGUCCCAGGUGCUUGGGAGGCUGAGACACAAGAAAUCACUUGAAUCCAGGAGGUGGAGGUUGCAGUGAGCCAAGAUCAUACCAUUGCACUCUAGCCUGGGUGACAGAGCAAGACUACUGUCUCCNNNNNNNNNNGGAGACAGUAGUCUUGCUCUGUCACCCAGGCUAGAGUGCAAUGGUAUGAUCUUGGCUCACUGCAACCUCCACCUCCUGGAUUCAAGUGAUUUCUUGUGUCUCAG
rnacentral:SRP_RNA from 1 species